ensembl:lncRNA
CCCAAAAGUGUUAAAAGAUUUUAAAAGCACCUCCUCCCAAAACUAGGCGUUUUCCCCUGAAGUUUAGAGCACCGUUUCACAUCAAGGCGCCUGAUUUCAAACGGGCCAAUCAGCGCACUGCAUCAGGCUCCACCACAGACAACGUCUGUACAGCUCACCACAAGUUUUGCUUUGGAGUACGGCAGCACGCUAUCUUCAUUUUCGUGGACUUGUUUCUCAUUUUUUUAAUUUAACGUCUGCCACAGCUCGUCUUCAGUUACUACGGUUCCUUGCCACCGGGGACUCCUUCAGGACCAUCGUGUUCAGUUUUAGAGUCGGUGUGUCCACGGUGUGCCAGAUCCACCCCCCAGGUAGCGACGGCCAUCUGGGACUGUCUAGUGGACGACUUCAUGGCUGUGCCUUCACCUGGAGACUGGCGGUCCAUCACAGAGGGAUUCCAGGAGCGCUGGAACUUCCCUCUCUGCUGUGGAGCUCUGGAUGGGAAGCACGUCCAGACAAAGGCACCCCAUAUAUCAUAUAGGAGACACACACAUUGAUAUACACUAAAUAUUAUUCCAUUUCUGUUUUUGUGGUGCCCAAAUUUAUGCACCUGCUUGAUUUUGUUUAAACAAUUAUUGCACACUUUUUGUAAAUCCAGUAAACUUCUUUUCACUUCUCAAAUAUCACUGUGUGUGUCUCCUGUAUGAUAUAUUUAACUAACGUUUUUUAUUGUAACAACCAACAAUUUAUACAGGAAAAUAAUGGCUGUUAACAAGGUUGCCCAAACUUUUGCAUCCCACUGUAUUAGUAUAUUUUGUCAUUAGUAUAAUAUGAAAUAAAU